ACAUGAAAGAUGAUGUGAGUAUAACAAUCUCUUAUAAUGCCAAGAGGAAUAAAGAAAAAUAUGCUGAGCAAAAUAAACUACAAGAAAAAAUUAAAGAAUUAGAAAUUCAAUUACAAAAUACACCAAAGGAUUCAAGACUACAAAACCAGAUGACAAUAACUAAACACAAAUUGAAUUCAAUUGAACAAGAAAGAAUGAUUAUAAACCUGAAUUCAACUAGACAAACUUAUUUU